rnacentral:snRNA from 1 species
GGAUGUGAGGGCGAUCUGGCUGCGACAUCUGUCACCCCAUUGAUCGCCAGGGUUGAUUCGGCUGAUCUGGCUGGUUAGGCAGGUGUCCCCUUCCUCCCUCACCGCUCCAAGUGCAUCCCUCCCAAAGAGGACGACCUUCCCCGAUAGAGGAGGACCGUUCUUUGGUCAAGGGUAUACGAGUAGCUGCGCUCCCUUGCUAGAACCUCCAUACAAGCUCUCAAGAAAUGGGCCAGAACUAUACCAGCUGUGCAGCCUCUGAGGCUAGCUCUGUGUUCACCAGGCUAGUAUC